UACGGGGGGAGCAAGCGUUGUUCGGAUUUACUGGGCGUAAAGGGCGCGUAGGCGGUAGCACAAGUCAGUUGUGAAAUCUCCGGGCUUAACUCGGAAAGGUCAACUGAUACUGUGCGACUAGAGUGCAGAAGGGGCAACUGGAAUUCUCGGUGUAGCGGUGAAAUGCGUAGAUAUCGAGAGGAACACCUGCGGCGAAGGCGGGUAGCUGGGCCGACACUGACGCUGAGGCGCGAAAGCCAGGGGAGCGAACGGG
rnacentral:rRNA from 1 species